rnacentral:rRNA from 1 species
AAAGAUUAAGCCAUGCAUGCCUAAGUAUAAACUUUUAUACGGUGAAACUGCGAACGGCUCAUUAAAUCAGUUGCAAUCGAAGUGGUUUUAUUAACAAUUUGAUCGGAUAACACUGGCAAAUCUAGUGCUAAUACGUUUGGAUUCUUUUAGGGUCCUCUCAUACUAGACGCAAUUGCCAAUUUUAUGGACGAAUCAUAGUAUAGAGUUGAUCGACUCCCGCGAGUCGACGUACCAUUCGAGCUUCUGCACUAUCAUCUCAGGUUGGUAGAGUAGUGGUCUACCAAGGGGUUUACGGUUAACGGAGGAUUAGGGUUCGACUCCGGAGAAUGAGCCUGAGAGACGGCUCAUACAUCCAAGGAUGGCAGCAGGCGCGAAAAUUACCCAAUGUACUAAGUACGAGGUAGUGAC